rnacentral:rRNA from 1 species
UUAAGUUUAAUGCUGAUAGCUAGUUGGUUGGAUAUCUAUAGAAAUAGACAAUAAACACAAAACAUUAUUAAAUUUAGUAAAGGUGAUUGAAAUUUAAUACCUUGCAUAAGCGUAGUACUGUGAAGGAAGACAGAUAGCUAGAAAUUAGAAAUGAUAAAAACUUGUACCUUUUGCAUCAUGGCUUAACUAGAUUAACUUCUGAAUAGAAAAUCUCGAAACCCGAUGAGCUAUCUUCACUCCGUUUUAUAGAUCUUAGUAAUGAGUUGGUUGUGGCAAAAAUCUCUCAAGAACUGAAGAUAGAUAUGAAAUUUUAUUCGCAUCGGGUGAUAGCUAGUUCUUUUCUAAAGGCAUAUUAGUGCCCUGGACUAGAAACUUAAUAGCCUGCAAAAUUUUUGUAGCUACGCAUAGUAGUCCAGUUAAGCUUUCGAGGAUAAGCUCGGAAGCAAUAUUUAGAUAGCAUCUAAUUUUUUUUGAAACAUAAGCUUAGUAAUGGCCAUUGAUGAAGAAUUUUGUUAUAAUUUAUUCUCCAAUUCUUAAUAUAAUUUAUUUGCUUGAUAAAAAGAGAAGAAAUUUUAAUAACUAUAUAAUAAAAAAAUUGUAUGUUAAGAUGAGUAUUAGUUUCUGUGUUGAAUAAACUAGUAAUCUAAAAAUUAGUCCUGUACAACAUGUUUUAAAACAAAACCAUAAAAAGGAACUCGGCAAAGUCGUAUUCUGCCUGUUUAUCAAAAACAUGGCUUCGUGUUGAAACUAAAAUACGAAGUCGGACCUGCCCAGUGAGUUUUAAACGGCCGCGGUACUCUGACCGUGCAAAGGUAGCAUAAUCAUUUGCCUUAUAAUUGAAGGCUGGAAUGAAUGGUUUGACAAGAAUACACCUGUCUCUUUUAGGCUGCCUAGAAUUUUAUCUUUGGAUGAAAAAGUCCAAAUAUUAUUAAAAGACAAGAAGACCCUAUCGAGCUUUAGAAAAAUUAGUAGACUUAAUAUAAAUCAAUAUAAGUAAAAGGAAAACUACUAAAUACUUUGGUUGGGGCAACCGAGGAGUAAAUAGAGCCUCCUUUGAAUUACAAAUCCUACAUGUAAUUGAUCCAAAAAUUUUGAUCAAAGGAAUUAGUUACCGUAGGGAUAACAGCAUUAUCUUUUUCAAGAGCCCAUAUCGAAAAAAAGGUUUGUGACCUCGAUGUUGGACCAGAAUAUCCUAAAGAUGCAGAAGUCUUUAAGGGUUGGUCUGUUCGACCAUUAAA